rnacentral:tRNA from 1 species
AACUAAAAAAGGGCAAUCCUGAGCCAAAUCUUUGUUUCGAGAU